rnacentral:rRNA from 1 species
UUGGCGGACGGGUGAGUAACGCGUGGGUAACCUGCCUCACACUGGGGGAUAACAGUUAGAAAUAGCUGCUAAUACCGCAUAAGCGCACAGCUCCGCGUGGAGCAGUGUGAAAAACUCCGGUGGUGUGAGAUGGACCCGCGUCUGAUUAGCCAGUUGGCGGGGUAACGGCCCACCAAAGCGACGAUCAGUAGCCGGCCUGAGAGGGUGAACGGCCACAUUGGGACUGAGACACGGCCCAAACUCCUACGGGAGGCAGCAUG